UCUCUGACGGAAAUCGUCGCCCCCCGGCGUCUACACAUGGCGCUUCCCAUCCCCGGAGAGCGAACGCCAUCGCCUCCUCUGACUCUGCUCUCAUAUCUCCUGUUGCUCAUUCGAGGCCUCUCCAUUCCUUUCUCGUCUCCGCCUCUUUCUCUCUCUGGAGUUGAUCUCGGUCGCUAAUGGCUGCCGUUGCUUCCGAAGAGAAGCUCGCAGAGCUCCGCUCCGCGGUUGCUGGUCUCGAUCAGAUCAGUGAAAACGAGAAAUAUGAGUUCAUCAAUCUCGACUCCCGCUAUUUGAGGUGCCCCCAGGUCAUGGUGAUGUGUGCCCAUCCCUGAUGAACAGUGGCAAGGUUGAUGCAUUACUUUCUCAGGUUAAGGAGUUCAUCUUCAUUGCAAACUUGGACAACUUGGGUGCUAUAGGAGAUAUUAAGUAUCCUUUUACCGCUUUUAUAGUUUGGCCCUUCUGUCCUCACCCGCUUAAAAUUUGUUUUUUCUUUUCUUCCUUUUUUUUCUUUCUCUUUUCUUUUUUUUUUUGGGGUUGUUGGGGGUUUUUUUUUUUUGGAGGGGAGGGUGCGGAUACAGGCUUGAAUUAUUAUUAUUAUUAUUUUGACAAGCUUGUUUGAGUCAAAAGUUAUGUAACGUUGACCACCAAAAAUAGAGAUCCUAAACCAUCUGAUCAACCACCAAAAUGAAUAUUGUAUGAAGGUAUGCACAUAUUUCAUUUAGUAAAAAAAAAUCACUUAAGCCACCUAAAUCUCAAAGUUUUCUGCUCAGGUUACUCCAAAAUCUUUAGCUGAUGUUAAAGUCUGGUGUUAAUUACUUUUUCGAUAAUACGCAUUCUUUGUUAUAUUGUUCUCAUUAUCAGUUUCAUGAUCACGUUAUGCUUCAUGGACGUGAACAAUAAGAAGCACUUUUACAAUUGCUGCAGUUGAACUGAUAUUGAGCAAGAUUUAGUAGCUGUUUUGUACGUGCGUGCGUGCAUGUGUGUGUGUGUGAGUGUGUGAGAGAGAAAGAGAGAGACCCACCCAGUAUUAUAUUUACCCAGGUUCAGAUACUUGGGGAUGCACCACCUAAGACUUGCAUAGGACCUCUGUUUGUCAGAUGAAGGGACGUGACUGCUGGGCAACAUACUGUUCCCUGUGCAUUUUGUUGGUUAAUGCACUCUUAGCAUUGCAUUGCAACCAUUAAACCCUGUUCAUUUGUUUAAAAUAAAAUAAUGAAGUGAUUCUUUUGCUAUGUCCUGUUGCAAUCAACUGCAUUGGCUGUGUACUGCCCAAUAUAUUGUUAUAAAAUCAAACAUGUUUGGCAAUCAAGGUUCUAAAAACAUCUGCCAUGUAUAGGGAAAACUUCUUUGACGUGAGUCAUGAACAGUUAAACUUCAUAUUUACAGCAUUAGUUUCAACUGUGUGAAAUGAAGAUAUUACUUAAUUAUGCUGCAUGCUUAGUUGAAUGUUGAUUUAUACCUGAAAAUAGGUGUCGAUAGGAAUUUAAAAAGUUGUUUCCUAUUUUUUUCUGUCUUCUUACCCCUUUCAUUGACCAAAUAUUCUCAUCUUGGCAAACCUACUUUAGUUUAUUUAACUACAACCAGGUCAUCUUAUCUCAUGGGAUCUCCUCAGAUCCAGAAAAUGAGGGUUUUAAGUUGUCUCAGAUCUACAUGCAAAUAGUUUGAACUCAAAUUAUAACGAAUUCACUACUCAGUAGUCUCUUAACACUUGUUCAUUAUAAUUUUAUUAGCUUAUCUCGUACUAUGUAACUUUCUGGGUAUUCUAUUUUGUUUUUCGUAGAACAAUAAAUAUAGCUUAUUUGCAAUUUCUUCAUCAGUCAAAUAACUAAGUAUUUUGUGUUGUUGAUUGACAUCUUGUCUAAAUGUUGUUAGUUUUUAAAACUCUUCAUAAUUUUUCUAGGUUUUGUUCAACUGCUUUAUUUAUAAGCUGGUGUUUGCAACCCCUGCAUGAAGAGCCACAGUUUUAUGACUCCCAUGUCCAUAUAAAUAUUUGUAUUUAUUUUCUCUAUUCAUUUGGUAUUCUCCUAAUUUUCAAAGUUUUCUACAAAUCAACCCACUUGGUCCAUAACAUCACUAAUAUUAGAUAACUUACAUAACAUCCUUGUCAUAUUUUCAUGCAUAUCCUUAAAAAAGUCAAUGCCACAGAGUAUCAUGUAUGAAAUGAUAUAUCUUUAAAUCAAUUAGAAAACCAAUGUCAAUCUCUUACUCUUUCUAUUUGGCUAAUUACUCCAGUUCGUCUUUGUCAUGCAUAUAAAUUUUUCUUAUAUGUUAAAUUGAGUGUAACCUUUUAGUUUAGUACCUUCUAUAUGAAUAUAACUUCUUUUGCUAUUUUUCUCCUGUUCAGCAUUUCUAACCUUUUUCAGUCCAUCAUGAUUUGCAGCUUCUGGAGAUUGCACAGGUUCCUGAUGCACAUGCAAACGAAUUCAAAUCAUUUGAGAAACUCAAGAUUUUCAAUACCAAUAACCCAUAGAUGGCUGAACUUGAAGGCUAUUAAGCGGCUUGUUGAAGCUGAUGCAUGUAAAAUGGAGAUAAUUCCAAAACCCUAAGGAAGUGGAUGGCGUGAAAGUUCUUCAACCGGAAACAGCAGCUGGUGCAGCAAUUUGAGUAAUGAUCAUUUUUUUGAUCAUGCCAUUGGAAUUAAUGUUCCCCAAUCUCGGUUUUUCCCAGUGAAGGCAACAUCAGAUUUGCUGCUAGUGCAGUUGGAUCUUUAUACCUUGGUUCAUGGCUUUGUAAUUCGUAACGGGGCUAGAAUAAACCCGGCAAAUCCCUCUAUUGCACUAGGGCCUGAAUUCAAAAAGGUGGGCAACUGGCCGCUUCAAGUCUAUUCCCAGCAUAGUUGAGCAUGACAGCUUGCAGGUUUCUGGUGAUGUAUGGUUUGGUUCAGGAAUGGUACUCAAGGUAUUAUUUGCAAGCUAUCACAUUGUUGUUUUUAUAUGAUCUUGCUUAAUAACUUAGUUGUAAUAUUACAUAUGUAAUGGUUUAUUUCACUUCAGUUGCAUAGAUUUCUGAGGAUCACUUCUUCUGCUUACAAAGAGAAUUUUCUAGCAACCUUACUUGAUAUUACUAUGAGCUAUUACCAGUUGCAUAUACUAUUCUAAACACAUGCACACAAUUAUGUUUACUUAGGCGAUAUACUACAGUUUGAGACUUAUGAACAGAUGCUGAAUGCAUUGAAAGUUUGAAACUUUAAUUCGCUAUGAUAUGAUUCAAGUUCUAUUGAACUACGUGGAUAUGAGAUGAGUGAUAUUUCCAUGUUUGUUGUGUGCCAGACUUGUCCGUAUGACAGCUAUGUUGAAACCUAAAGUGGUAGGCAAGUAUACUAUAAUUUUUAAUCUAGAAAUUUAGAAAGCCAUUACCUUUUAUCCUAUGGACUUGGCUAUGAGUAUUGGGUGUUGGUGCAUUUACAAGUGUCUAAGAGCAUCUUUCUGUAGCCCAAUGCAUUUACAUGUGGAUGCUUUUCAGGUAAACUGGAGGCCUGGUAACAUAAUAUCUUGUUACAUUCUUAAUCUCUUAAGGAGACAAGGAAUGGAUAUGUUUCUAGAAAUCCUUUUGUUUUGUGCUUAUUGGAUGAUAUCACUCCAAGCUUAGUUCUGUCAAAGCUGAUAAAGUGAAUACCCUGUUAUACUGAGACACGCCUUGAAUUUACCAAAUUGCUGAAGUUCAUAAUUUUAAAUUGGAUAUCUAAUUUUAAAUUGGAGUUCUCUUGUUUUCUUCUAAAUAAGAUGUUUCAAGGAGAUUGAGGCUAUAGAUUCCCAAAUGUUAAAUUUUCACGUCAAGCCUCCUUGAAGCUUCCUGAAUUCAGGAUGUGGUAUGCAAAUUGUUAUAGAACCAUUACUGUUAAGCCCAUUCUCCAUACAAAUCUUUGACCCACAUACAUGCAGUUUUUUUCCUCCAAUAUUCCUGUACUUAUCUAUAGUGGAUUUUGAUAAUAAAGUCUAUUAGG